GCUGAGCUCUACAUUUAAAUGCUGGGAUACUUGUUAGGAAUUUGCAGGGAGAUGGUAUCAAUCAAUAUGAGAUCUCGUGCCAGCAGUGUUCUGAGUGUUGGCUCAGAAGCAAAGGCCUCUGUUUUGAUUGCCUUGCGGUGGAGUUUAUGUAUAGUGCUUAAUGUGGCUGGUUGGUUUAUUGGCAUUUAGUGUGGGCAGGUCAGCUUGUUUCUUCUCUCUUCCUGGAUUAGUCAUAUGGGUCAAAGAUCAUCCAGUGGACAUGAUGACAUCACAGCACCAUUGGGUGGUGAGAGGUUGGCCGCAGAACAUUUUGCUUCAGAUGACUCAAGGAAAUGGUUCAUAAAAGCUGUUCAUAAAAUACAA